UACGUAGGUGGCAAGCGUUGUCCGGAUUUACUGGGCGUAAAGGGCGUGCAGGCGGUUUGUUAAGUCUAGGGUGAAAGCUCCCGGCUCAACUGGGAGAGGUCCUUGGAUACUGGCAGACUUGAGGAGGGUAGAGGAGAGUGGAAUUCCCGGUGUAGUGGUGAUAUGCGUAGAUAUCGGGAGGAACACCAGUGGCGAAGGCGGCUCACUGGACCGGAACUGACGCUCAGACACGAAAGCAUGGGGAGCGAACGGG
rnacentral:rRNA from 1 species